GCGGCUGUAGCUCAAUGGCAGAGCACCAGGCUGUGGCCCUGGUGGUUGCGGGUUCGAAUCCCGUCGGCCGCCCA
rnacentral:tRNA from 1 species